CACCGCAUAGCUCAGUUGGUGGAGCAUGAGACCCUUAAUCUCAGGGUCGUGGUUUGAGCCCCACGUAGGGUAA